UACGGAGGGGACUAGCGUUGUUCGGAAUUACUGGGCGUAAAGCGCACGUAGGCGGAUCUUUAAGUCAGGGGUGAAAUCCUGGGGCUCAACUCCAGAACUGCCUUUGAUACUGAGGAUCUUGAGUUCGGGAGAGGUGAGUGGAACUGCGAGUGUAGAGGUGAAAUUCGUAGAUAUUCGCAAGAACACCAGUGGCGAAGGCGGCUCACUGGCCCGAUACUGACGCUGAGGCACGAAAGCGUGGGGAGCAAACAGG
rnacentral:rRNA from 1 species